GGAGUCGGACAGGCUAUCGCUGCCAGCCGCAGGGCUGGGGGAGGAAAGUCCGGACACCACAGGGCAGGAUGCUGGAUAACGUCCAGCGGGGGCGACCCCGGGACAGUGCCACAGAAACAAACCGCCCUGGUGCAUCCAGGGUAUGGGUGAACAUGUGGGGUAAGAGCCCACCAGUUGUUGCGGUGACGCAGCAAGCUCGGCAAACCCCAUCUGGUGCAAGACCAAAUAGGAAGGUGACCGGCCCGGUCAUGAUCCUUCGGGUAGGUUGCUGGAGGCAGUGGGUAACUGCUGCCCUAGAGGAAUGAUAGCCGCCUGGUAUCAGGCACAGAAUCCGGCUUAUGCCCGGCUCCGUAU
rnacentral:RNase_P_RNA from 1 species